rnacentral:misc_RNA from 1 species
UAAUAAUAAUAAUAAUAAUAAUAUCUAAGUGCAUAUUCUACAUAAUACUAAAUAAUGAUUUCUUUUCAAUUAUCACAACAGAUUGUUAUUAAUACCAUCACCACCAAUAUCAUUGUUAUAGCCAUCACCAACAACAUUAGACAUUACUCCCACAACUACAUUACUCCCACAACUAUCAUAAUCACUACUAUAAAUGUCAUUUUCCACCACUACUACUCAUCAAAACCACUUUAUCCAAAUGAAUUCUUUUUUUUUUCCGAUUGAUUUUUAUUGAGAAAUACGGACCUAGGAAAGUGAAUAUCAAACUGACAGCGCUGCAAGCAAACCUAGGCUCCCUAUCACCAAAAUGGACUAAGUUGAGAGAAGGGAGAUUGA